rnacentral:rRNA from 1 species
UACGUAGGGUGCAAGCGUUAAUCGGAAUUACUGGGCGUAAAGCGUGCGCAGGCGGUUGUGCAAGACAGAUGUGAAAUCCCCGGGCUCAACCUGGGAAUUGCAUUUGUGACUGCACGGCUAGAGUGUGUCAGAGGGGGGUAGAAUUCCACGUGUAGCAGUGAAAUGCGUAGAGAUGUGGAGGAAUACCGAUGGCGAAGGCAGCCCCCUGGGAUAACACUGACGCUCAUGCGCGAAAGCGUGGGGAGCAACAGGG